rnacentral:rRNA from 1 species
AAGCGGCAACAGCUCAAAUUUGAAAUCUGGCGCAAGCCCGAGUUGUAAUUUGUAGAGGAUGCUUCUGGGCAGCGGCCUGUCUAAGUUCCUUGGAACAGGACGUCAUAGAGGGUGAGAAUCCCGUAUGUGACCGGCGCGCACCCUCCACGUAGCUCCUUCGACGAGUCGAGUUGUUUGGGAAUGCAGCUCUAAAUGGGAGGUAAAUUUCUUCUAAAGCUAAAUACCGGCCAGAGACCGAUAGCGCACAAGUAGAGUGAUCGAAAGAUGAAAAGCACUUUGGAAAGAGAGUUAAAAAGCACGUGAAAUUGUUGAAAGGGAAGCGCUCACAACCAGACUUCGCGGCGGUGUUCCGCCGGUCUUUUGACCGGUCCACUCGCCGCCGCGAGGCCAACAUCAUCUGGGGCCGCCGGAUAAGACCGUGGGAAUGUAGCUCCCCUCGGGGAGUGUUAUAGCUCACGGUGAUGCGGCGAGCCUCGGGUGAGGUCCGCACUUCGGUAAGGAUGUUGGCGUAAUGGUUGUCAGCGGCCCGUCUUGAAACACGGACCAAGGAGUCUAACAUCUAUGCGAGUGUUCGGGUGUCAAACCCCUACGCGUAAUGAAAGUGAACGGAGGUGGGAACGCAAGUGCACCAUCGACCGAUCCUGAUGUCCUCGGAUGGAUUUGAGUAAGAGCAUAGCUGUUGGGACCCGAAAGAUGGUGAACUAUGCCUGAAUAGGGUGAAGCCAGAGGAAACUCUGGUGGA